AGCCUCCCAAAGUGUGGGAUCACAGGCAUGAGCCUCCAUGCCCAGCCCAGUUACAGAUUUCUGUCUUCCUUCUCCACUCCCACUGCUGCACUUGACCAGCCUUUA
ensembl:misc_RNA Y_RNA Y RNA